rnacentral:rRNA from 1 species
AGAGUUUGAUCAUGGCUCAGAACGAACGCUGGCGGCGUGGAUAAGACAUGCAAGUCGAACGGGACAAGUAGCAAUAUUUGUCUAGUGGCGAACGGGUGCGUAACACGUGGGCAACAUGCCUGAAAGCGCGGGAUAGCCCGGGGAAACUCGGAUUAAUACCGCAUGUGACAACGGGGUGGAUUCACUCUGUUUUCAAAGGUGGGGACCGCAAGGCCUGCCGCUUUCAGAUUGGCCCGCGGCCUAUCAGCUAGUUGGCGAGGUAAAAGCUCACCAAGGCGACGACGGGUAGCUGGUCUGAGAGGACGACCAGCCACACUGGAACUGAGACACGGUCCAGACACCUACGGGUGGCAGCAGUCGAGAAUCUUUCACAAUGGGGGAAACCCUGAUGGAGCGACGCCGCGUGGAGGAUGAAGGUCUUCGGAUUGUAAACUCCUGUCAUGAAAGAACAAGCAAUGCGGGUGAACAUCCCGCAACGUUGAUAGUAUUUCAAGAGGAAGGGACGGCUAACUUCGUGCCAGCAGCCGCGGUAAUACGAGGGUCCCAAGCGUUGUUCGGAAUCACUGGGCGUAAAGAGUGCGUAGGCGGCGCGGAAAGUCAGAUGUGAAAUCCCGGGGCUCAACCUCGGAACGGCAUCCGAUACUCCCGCGCUUGAGGACUGGAGGGGAGUCUGGAAUUCACGGUGUAGCAGUGAAAUGCGUAGAUAUCGUGAGGAACACUAGUGGCGAAGGCGAGACUCUGGACAGUUCCUGACGCUGAGGCACGAAGGCCAGGGGAGCGAAGGGGAUUAGAUACCCCCGUAGUCCUGGCAGUAAACGGUGCUCGCUUGGUAUGCGCGGUUUCGACCCCCGUGCGUGCCGGAGCUAACGCGUAAGCAGCCGCCUGA